UGUUGAUAAAGGUUGCGUCUUCUACAAGCAUUUUCAAGUGGGCGGCAUGGGGGAUGGAAUUGACAAGGCCAUGACCAGUCCUCGCAUAUCAAGUGACCCGGGAAGGUGGAGAAGGGGGUCUCCUAGGGUUUCAGCUGAUAUAAUGUUCAAGUAGACGUGGAGUGAUCACUGCCGUGUAUAUUGUGAGAGACAAUUAAUGUCGACUGGAGUAUCCUAGUCUUUCGUGAAAUUAUUCCCCUAUCCACCGGCCUCUUUCUCACUGGAAUUUUCAUGUGAGGUUCGAUUUUCCACUGAUCAGGUGUUUCAAUUUGAAAGGCCUAUCCAAGAUAUUUCUGUUUCUAUUUAAUUACCACUGAUUCAGAAUUCUCAGUUUCCAUUCACACGGUACGGUACGUGUUAUCGGUUCCAGAGCCUCCACCACCUAGCUAGAUCGAUUAUGCAGAUUUUCUUAAUUUUUGGCCAAUACUUCAGACAAUUUUUGUGCAAUGUACGUUUAUUUAACCAUAUAUAUGUACUAGUCAGAUAUCAAAUUAAAA